rnacentral:rRNA from 1 species
GACGAACGCUGGCGGCGUGCUUAACACAUGCAAGUCGAACGGUGAAGGGACCGGUUUUUGCUGGUUCUGGAUGAGUGGCGAACGGGUGAGUAACACGUGAGUAACCUGCCCCCUUCUUCUGGAUAACCGCAUGAAAGUGUGGCUAAUACGGGAUAUUCUGCGCCUGCUGCAUGGUGGGUGUGGGAAAGAUAUUGUUUCGGUGGGGGAUGGGCUCGCGGCCUAUCAGCUUGUUGGUGGGGUGAUGGCCUACCAAGGCGGUGACGGGUAGCCGGCCUGAGAGGGUGGACGGUCACACUGGGACUGAGACACGGCACAGACUCCUACGGGAGGCAGCAGUGGGGAAUAUUGCACAAUGGGCGCAAGCCUGAUGCAGCGACGCCGCGUGAGGGAUGGAGGCCUUCGGGUUGUAAACCUCCUUCGCCAGUGAAGCAGGCCUGUCCCUUUUGUGGGUGGGUUGACGGUAGCUGGAGAAGAAGCGCCGGCUAACUACGUG